rnacentral:rRNA from 1 species
GGUGAACGCUGGCGGCGUGCCUAAUACAUGCAAGUCGAGCGAAUGGAUUAAGAGCUUGCUCUUAUGAAGUUAGCGGCGGACGGGUGAGUAACACGUGGGUAACCUGCCCAUAAGACUGGGAUAACUCCGGGAAACCGGGGCUAAUACCGGAUAACAUUUUGAACCGCAUGGUUCGAACUUGAAAGGCGGCUUCGGCUGUCACCUAUGGAUGGACCCGCGUCGCAUUAGCCAGUUGGUGAGGUAACGGCUCACCAAGGCAACGAUGCGUAGCCGACCUGAGAGGGUGAUCGGCCACACUGGGACUGAGACACGGCCCAGACUCCUACGGGAGGCAGCAGUAGGGAAUCUUCCGCAAUGGACGAAAGUCUGACGGAGCAACGCCGCGUGAGUGAUGAAGGCUUUCGGGUCGUAAAACUUUGUUGUUAGGGAAGAACAAGUGCUAGUUGAAUAAGCUGGCACCUUGACGGUACCUAACCAGAAAGCCACGGCUAACUACGUGCCAGCAGCCGCUGUAA